rnacentral:rRNA from 1 species
GCGAACGCUGGCGGCAGGCCUAACACAUGCAAGUCGCACGAACUCUUCGGAGUUAGUGGCGGACGGGUGAGUAACACGUGGGAACGUGCCUUUUGGUUCGGAAUAACUCAGGGAAACUUGUGCUAAUACCGAAUGUGCCCUUCGGGGGAAAGAUUUAUCGCCAUUAGAGCGGCCCGCGUCUGAUUAGCUAGUUGGUGAGGUAACGGCUCACCAAGGCGACGAUCAGUAGCUGGUCUGAGAGGAUGACCAGCCACACUGGGACUGAGACACGGCCCAGACUCCUACGGGAAGCAGCAGUGGGGAAUCUUGCGCAAUGGGCGAAAGCCUGACGCAGCCAUGCCGCGUGAAUGAUGAAGGUCUUAGGAUUGUAAAAUUCUUUCACCGGGGACGAUAAUGACGGUACCCGGAGAAGAAGCCCCGGCUAACUUCGUG